rnacentral:antisense_RNA from 1 species
UACCUCUUGUUUUUUAUCAUCGAUAUAAUCCAUUUCAAAGUUGUCAUUAAUGACGUUUUCUGAAAAUUCUUCGUCAGCUUGCUGUAUCUCAACUAUUUCUGUAAUAUUCUCAAUACUCUCACCUUCUUUUAUCAGCCCAUCAUUAGGGUUAACCGUAACUUCACCAUAUUGUAUUUCAGUCUCUUCCUGAACAUUCUCAAUUUGAUAAGGUUCCAGUAUGUUACUUGACUGGUCAAUGUAAAUCACCUGAUUACCGUCAGCAUCAAAUUCUACAUUAUUACUAUAAGUCUCAUCGUAAUAAUAAAUUGUUUCGAAUUGAUCUGCUUCAUCACAUAUAUAUACAUUAUCGAUAUUAGAAACUUCCAAAUCAAAUUUUUCCGCAUCUAUAUGAAUUUCAUUACUCAAUUGUCUUUGUAUAGCGAAAGAUUUUGGAUCAGGGCUUUCCUUUGAGUAAUAAUAUAUGUCAUAUUCACUUUCUGUUUCGUAUUCAUCAAUUUCUGGUUCAUAUUCCUCGCUACUUUCACUUUCCUCACUACUUUCUUCAUGAUCCAUGAAAAGACGUUUAUUGUAUUCAUUUACAAAAAUAGGAUAAAAUGGAUUUGAGUAAAAGUCCUCUAAGAGCUUUGAAUGCUUUUCUCUUAUCCAAUCAGGAGCAUUAAUUGGCUGCUUAUAUUUAUCAUUCGCGUGAUUUUUAACCUCGUCAAUAAUAUCAAGU